UGGGGAAUAUUGGACAAUGGGCGAAAGCCUGAUCCAGCCACGCCGCGUGAGUGAUGAAGGCCUUCGGGUCGUAAAGCUCUGUGGGGAGGGACGAAUAACGCCGUGAAGAACGGCGCUUGACGGUACCUCCUUAGCAAGCACCGGCUAACUUCGUGCCAGCAGCCGCGGUAAUACGAAGGGUGCAAACGUUGCUCGGAAUUAUUGGGCGUAAAGCGCACGUAGGCGGCUCUGUAAGUCGGAUGUGAAAUCCCUCGGCUUAACCGAGGACGUGCAUCCGAAACUGCGGAGCUCGAGUAUGGAAGAGGGUCGCAGAAUUCCCGGUGUAGAGGUGAAAUUCGUAGAUAUCGGGAGGAAUACCAGUGGCGAAGGCGGCGACCUGGGCCAAUACUGACGCUGAGGUGCGAAAGCGUGGGGAGCAAACAGG
rnacentral:rRNA from 1 species